rnacentral:misc_RNA from 1 species
UUUCCGUAGGUGAACCUGCGGAAGGAUCAUUAUACUACUAAAUAUCAUUGGCAUUCAACUGCUAUCUCUGACCCGAAAGUCUUGCACGCCCGAGUUUUUCCUCUUGCAUAAUAAUCCAGCUGACCCUUGGUUCAUCACCUCCUUGGCACCCUUCGGUAUCAUCUCUUAUCUGGCCUCUCGUUUUCACACAAACCCCCCUUUUAAAAGUGUACAAUGACCACUGUUAUGAAAUCAAUACAACUUUUAACAACUGACCGUUUAGCUCUCGCAUCGAUGAAA